AUUCCAUGCAAGAUGUGGUAGCUAAUUCUGGUUGUCAGCUUCACACACUUAGGAAGAGGGUCCCACAAUGAGGAGUUGCUUCCAUCAGACUGACCUGUUUGACUCUACUGUUUUGGAGCCUGAGGCAAGCCAAAGCUUUCUGCUAAGACCAAGGGCAAAGGGCAAACUAUUCAACUUAUAGUGGACAGGAAGCUAAAGAAGGUACUGGUGCAGCAGCAUCUUCCACAAAGACAGUCUCCCAGUGGCCUAACCAGCUCCCACUAAGCCACAGCUACCGAAGAUUCCAGCACCUGCCAAAAGACUCAAUUAGAGUAUCUUUUAUUGGCAUGCUAUUGGUUUGGAAAGACAGAAAGUGUGCCAAUAAUUAUCUGGCAAGGUGAAAAGGAGCCUACGAUGUAUGCAGAUUGGAUCCUGAGGGAAUAUGCUCAAACCUAUUUGAAAUAUUCCAGACACAAAAUGGAUUUGCCUUCAACUCACAAACAAGCACUUGCUUGUCUGGAUAUGAGAAUUUCAGAUGUCCCACAUAAUAUUUUGCAGUACCAAAUGGAGAGAAAAUGUAAAGACAUGAAGAAGGUUUCUUAGAGAGAAAGAUAAGAUACUGAGUGAAAGUUACAGAGGGAUCAAGCAAUUGUUUUCUAAGAAGUAAUUCUGGAAGAAAAAAAAUAAAAAGAUGAAAGAGAAAAGAAGAAUUGCACUUUGCCAUGUUCAGAGGAAAUGGAUUGUUUCAAGACUUUUAGAAGAACAAAAAUGCUUCAGCUGCCUUUCCACUUUAGCAAAAGAAGUUCUACUUUAACUUGGGGAAAGACAGGACCUGAAGUUAAGCUAAGAAAGUUCCUGAAACAUGCUGACUGAUGAUUCUCUCAUCUCAUUUCUCAUUAAAAACUGUUCUGAUGA